GUGAGGAAUAUUGGUCAAUGGGCGGAAGCCUGAUCCAGCCAUGCCGCGUGAUAGAUGAAGGCCCUCUGGGUUGUAAAUAUCUUUUAUCUGGGAAGAAACUCCUCUAUUCUUAGAGGCCUGACGGUACCAGAGGAAUAAGCACCGGCUAACUCCGUGCCAGCAGCCGCGGUAAUACGGAGGGUGCAAGCGUUAUCCGGAUUCACUGGGUUUAAAGGGUGCGUAGGCGGGUUGAUAAGUCAGUGGUGAAAGCUCCGGGCUUAACUUGGAAACUGCCAUUGAUACUGUCAGUCUUGAAUGUCGUAGAGGUAAGCGGAAUGUUGCAUGUAGCGGUGAAAUGCUUAGAUAUGUUACAGAACACCAAUUGCGAAGGCAGCUUACUAUGCGAUAAUUGACGCUGAGGCACGAAAGCGUGGGGAGCAAACAGGAUUAGAUACCCCGGUAGUCC
rnacentral:rRNA from 1 species